rnacentral:rRNA from 1 species
UACGGAGGAUGCGAGCGUUAUCCGGAUUUAUUGGGUUUAAAGGGUGCGUAGGCGGGCUUUUAAGUCAGCGGUAAAAAUUCGGGGCUCAACCUCGUCGAGCCGUUGAAACUGGGUGCCUUGAGUGGGCGAGAAGUACGCGGAAUGCGUGGUGUAGCGGUGAAAUGCAUAGAUAUCACGCAGAACUCCGAUUGCGAAGGCAGCGUACCGGCGCCCUACUGACGCUGAAGCACGAAGGCGUGGGUAUCGAACAGG